UUUUUUGCCUUUACAGAAGCACCGUUGGCAGUUGUGUCAGCACCCCUUGCAGUUAUUUCAGAAGCACCAUUGGCAUCAGUGUCAGCAACACAUUCUUCAGUUGCAACAGGUAAAGUGAAUUUUAGUCGUUUUUAAAAUUAAUAUGUUAGUCGUUUUAUGCAGAAUUUAU
rnacentral:lncRNA from 1 species